GUGAACGCUGGCGGUAGGCCUAACACAUGCAAGUCGAACGGCAGCACAGUAAGAGCUUGCUCUUACGGGUGGCGAGUGGCGGACGGGUGAGGAAUACAUCGGAAUCUACUUUUUCGUGGGGGAUAACGUAGGGAAACUUACGCUAAUACCGCAUACGACCUACGGGUGAAAGCAGGGGAUCUUCGGACCUUGCGCGAUUGAAUGAGCCGAUGUCGGAUUAGCUAGUUGGCGGGGUAAAGGCCCACCAAGGCGACGAUCCGUAGCUGGUCUGAGAGGAUGAUCAGCCACACUGGAACUGAGACACGGUCCAGACUCCUACGGGAGGCAGCAAUGGGGAAUAUUGGACAAUGGGCGCAAGCCUGAUCCAGCCAUACCGCGUGGGUGAAGAAGGCCUUCGGGUUGUAAAGCCCUUUUGUUGGGAAAGAAAAGCAGCAGGUUAAUACCCCGCUGUUCUGACGGUACCCAAAGAAUAAGCACCGGCUAACUUCGUG
rnacentral:rRNA from 1 species